GAAGCCAAUCUGAAAAGAUAACAUACUGUAUGAUGCCAACUGAAAUAUUUUUUUUAAAAAAGGAAAAACUGUGAAGAUAGUGAAAAAUGAUCUGUGGUUUCUGGGGGCUAGGUGACAGGGGGAGGGGAGAAGGAUGGGGGAGCAUGAGAGAUUUCUAGGGUGGCACAACUAUUCUGUAUGACACUAAUGGUAGAUAUAUAUCAUCAUGCAUUUGUCAAAACCUAUUGAAUGUGUCGCACAGUGAGUGAACUCUAAAGGAAACUAGGAACUUUAGUUAUUAAUAAUAUAUCAGUAUUGCCUCUUUAAUUGCUAUAAUUGUGUUACGCUACUGUAAGACGUUAACAGUAGGAGUGACUCUAUGUGGAAACUCUCAGGCAAUCUAAAAAAAAAAAAUGAAUAAAGUCACUUUCUGCCCUUUAGAAAUUAGUGUUUUACUUAUUGCAGGAAAUGGCGAAUUACUAUUGUUACAUCACAGAAACACACACACAGAGGUCUAUGUAGGUUUCAUUGAGCUGGUGUAUAAGCUCUAAAACCGAUGAGUUGAAAAAUACUAAAAAAAAAAAAAAAAAGGAUCAGCAUGUUCUGGGUAACAGUCAAGAUUCCACUGGCAUCCAAGAACUGUGGAAAGCAUAUUUUUCUGUCCAGUGGUUUGCUGUAUCCCACAGAACACAAGAAUGAGUCUCUCAGUCCAAUUAAAGCAUUUUGCCAUGGAGCUAGCUGUUGAGUAUGCUUUUCUGGGACUACAUGAUAGAACUGACCUAAUUACUUCUUUACAAAAAGAAGAAGCCGUAUCUACCUGAUAGUUUUCAUAAUUAUGAAACAGAAGGUUUACUCUUUGGCUUAAAUUCCCGGGGUGAUAUUCAUAUAUUAGUUCGGGCUUUUUUUGCACAUAUAGGUUUGUGGGGGCCCAGGGGGGAAUGUCCUUUAGGGCCCAGGGAGUUAUGCCCCCUUCCGGGAACCCCCCCCCCCCCCCCAAGGAAUAAUGCUGAUAAUGGAGCUGAAGAGAAUUUUAGAAAUAUAGUCCUGGAAAUGGAGGAAAUUGAGGAAAGAGAAGAAAGACACAGAUAAUCUGUAAUACACAUAAUGUAGAAUAUGUAUAAUAGGUAACAUAAUAUGUAAAUACAAUAUUCUGUACAUUAUAGAUAUAAAAAUUACAUAUGGUAACAAUCUAUUUUAUAUUAUAUAAUAUAUAAAUGUGUAUAUUUCAUAUGCUUCAAGUUCAUAAUUUCUUUCUGACAUCUCAAGGGUAUUUGCUAGGGGAAAGUCGAGAUUUUGAAUAAUUACCUUUGGCCUCAACUAUCCUCCAGUCAAAGUUAAUGUGAAGAUAUCAGACAUACAGUUCAUCCAUUCAUACAUAUAGUACACACAGUUCACAAGUAUUAGGCUUUUUUUUUAACAUUCUACCAUUUGAUAUUUUAUUGAGGGAUUCUUCUUUUUUUUUUUUUUUUUUGUUUAAGAUUUAUUUAUCCAUGAGAGACAGAAAGAGAGAGAGAGGCAGAGACACAGGCAGAGGGAGAAGGAGGCUCCAUGCAGUGAGCCAGACGCGGGACUCGAUCCCAGGACCCUGGGAUUACAGCCUAAGCCAAAGGCAGAUGCUCAACCACUGAGCCACCCAGGUGCACCUCUGCCUUCCCUUCUUAAUAG
rnacentral:lncRNA from 12 species